GUGGACCAUUGAACUUGUCAGUUGGUAAGCAGCAGAAAAGAGACAAGAGCUCAACUGUUUCCUGUACCUAGAACUCAUUUUUGAGAAGCAGACCCCUCCAGUGAGGGCUGGUAACGAAAGUCCACAGACAAGCUCCAGUCAGAGGCAGAUCACACUUUGAGAAGCGCUGCGUUAGAGGAGAAUGAAUCUACCAGAAACCCAGGCACUCCACAAUCCCAGGCAGUCAACAAAAGAAAAGAAACCCAGCCAGGAAACGUGGUAUUUACCAACAAGUUUUCUUGAAGACCGAGGGCGCCAUCCCUUGCUUGGAUGGUCACGGUGUCCUCUAGCCUUGCCCCCUUCCAGUCCAUUUCACUCAGAGCCAUGGAGACAUCAUUCUCAAGUGUAAGCAUGAUCGUGUCACUUUCUUACCUGGCCUCGGAUGAGCAGACUGAGGCUCAGAGAGAACAGCUGAUCUCAGCCAGUCACACAAGAGUACGCAACACACCUGACUUUCAAACCAAGGUCUACCUGCCACUGAAAGAUGUGCGUUUUGCACAAGACCACAUUGGGUGAACACAUUUCUCACUCAUUCUGAGGCCCAGGAUCUGAACAAGGCUGACUCCUGGUUCUUGGCAAAGGACUGAGCUUUUUCCUAUGUAGUCCUUCAGAAAGUUCCACUGGGGACUUCCCUGGUGGUGCAGUUGUUAAGAAUCUGCCUGCCAAUGCUGGGGACGUGGGUUCAAUCCCUGGUCCGGGAAGAUCCCACAGGCUGCAGAGCAACUGAGCCCGUGUGCCACAGCUACUGAGCCCACGUGCUGCAACUGCGCACCUAGAGCCCAUGCUCCGCAGCAAGAGAAGCCACUGCAAUGAGAAGCCCAUGCACCGCGAUGAGAAACCCACGUACCACAACGAAGAGUAGCUCCCGCUUGACGCAACUAG